rnacentral:rRNA from 1 species
CUACGGGAGGCAGCAGUAGGGAAUUUUCGUCAAUGGGCGCAAGCCUGAACGAGCAAUGCCGCGCGAACGAGGAAGGUCUUCGGAUCGUAAAGUUCUGUUGAAGGGGAAAAAGAGCGGAGAGAGGAAAUGGUCUCCGAUUGAUAUUACCCUUCGAGGAAGUCACGGCUAACUACGUGCCAGCAGCCGCGGUAAUACGUAGGUGGCGAGCGUUAUCCGGAAUGAUUGGGCGUAAAGGGUGCGUAGGCGGCCUGCUAAGUCUGGAGUGAAAGGUACCGGCUCAACCGGUACAGGCUCUGGAAACUGGG